GACGAACGCUGGCGGCGUGCUUAACACAUGCAAGUCGAACGAAGAGCGAUGGAAGCUUGCUUCUAUCAAUCUUAGUGGCGCACGGGUGAGUAACGCGUAAUCAACCUGCCCUUCAGAGGGGGACAACAGUUGGAAACGACUGCUAAUACCGCAUACGAUCUAAUCUCGGCAUCGAGGAUAGAUGAAAGGUGGCCUCUACAUGUAAGCUAUCACUGAAGGAGGGGUUUGCGUCUGAUUAGCUAGUUGGAGGGGUAACGGCCCAACAAGGCGAUGAUCGGUAGCCGGUCUUGGAGGAUGGACGGCCACAAUGGGACUGAGACACGGCCCAGACUCCUUCGGGAGGCAGCAGUGGGGAAUCUUCCGCAAUGGACGAAAGGCUGACGGAGCAACGCCGCGUGAGUGAUGACGGCCUUCGGGUUGUAAAGCUCUGUUAAUCGGGACGAAAGGCCUUCUUGCGAAUAGUGAGAAGGAUUGACGGUACCGGAAUAGAAAGCCACGGCUAACUACGUG
rnacentral:rRNA from 1 species